rnacentral:rRNA from 1 species
AUUGAACGCUGGCGGCAGGCCUAACACAUGCAAGUCGAGCGGAUGAAGGGAGCUUGCUCCUGGAUUCAGCGGCGGACGGGUGAGUAAUGCAUAGGAAUCUGCCUGGUAGUGGGGGAUAACGUCCGGAAACGGGCACUAAUACCGCAUACGUCCUGAGGGAGAAAGUGGGGGAUCUUCGGACAUCACGCUAUCAGAUGAGCCUAGGUCGGAUUAGCUAGUUGGUGGGGUAAAGGCCUACCAAGGCGACGAUCCGUAACUGGUCUGAGAGGAUGAUCAGUCACACUGGAACUGAGACACGGUCCAGACUCCUACGGGAGGCAGCAGUGGGGAAUAUUGGACAAUGGGCGAAAGCCUGAUCCAGCCAUGCCGCGUGUGUGAAGAAGGUCUUCGGAUUGUAAAGCACUUUAAGUUGGGAGGAAGGGCAGUAAGUUAAUACCUUGCUGUUUUGACGUUACCAACAGAAUAAGCACCGGCUAACUUCGUG